GGGUCAGUAGGUUGGUCGUGCCACCGGUACGUACUGGUCUCACUGAUUCCUCCUUCCUGAAGAACCGUAAUGCCAUUAAUUUGGUGUUGCGGGGAAACAGGACUGUUACUUUGAAAAAAUUAGAGUGUUUGCAGCAAGCUAACGCUCGAAUACAUUAGCAUGGAAUAAUGAAAUAGGACGAUCGAUCCUAUUUUGUUGGUUUCUAGGAUUGACGUA
rnacentral:rRNA from 1 species